UAUAAGGGAUUUUGAGUUUUUGUUUGCAACGUUUGACCACUCAUCUUAUUCAAAAGUUUUUGAAAUUAUUAUUUAUUUUAUUUGUGACUUACUUUAUUACCCACAGUACUUUAAGCACAACUUCAUUUUUGAUAUUUGCAAAAAAAUUUGAAUGAGACGAGUGGUCAAACGUUGCAAGCAAAAAUUCAAAAUCCCUUAUA
rnacentral:pre_miRNA from 1 species